UACGUAGGGUCCGAGCGUUGUCCGGAAUUAUUGGGCGUAAAGAGCUUGUAGGCGGUUUGUCGCGUCUGCUGUGAAAUCCGAGGCUCAACCUCGGACUUGCAGUGGGUACGGGCAGACUAGAGUGUGGUAGGGGAGACUGGAAUUCCGUGGUGAUAGACGGUGAAAUGCGCAGAUAGUCAGGAGGAACACCGGUGGCGGAAGGCGGGUC
rnacentral:rRNA from 1 species